AUACCCCACUAUGCUUUAGCCCUAAACAUUGAUAGUUUUUACACCUACUAUCCGCCUGGGAACUACGAGCAACAGCUUAAAACCCAAAGGACUUGGCGGUGCUUUAGACCCACCUAGAGGAGCCUGUUCUGAAACCGAUAACCCCCGUUCAACCUCACCUUUUCUUGUUCUCCCCGCCUAUAUACCGCCGUCGUCAGCUUACCCUAUGAAGGCCCCUUAGUAAGCACAAUUGGUACAACCCAAAACGUCAGGUCGAGGUGUAGCGUAUGGAAAGGGAAGAAAUGGGCUACAUUCCUUAAUUACAGGGAAUUACGAAAAAUAUUACUGAAACGUGUAUCUAGAAGGAGGAUUUAGCAGUAAGCAGAAAAUAGAGCGUUCCGCUGAAACUGGCCCUGAAGCGCGCACACA
rnacentral:rRNA from 1 species